GCUUCCGUAGCUCAGUUGGUUAGAGCUUCGUACUAAUACUUCCCAUCGGGCAAGCAUUGGUAAUGCGAAGGUCGCAGAUUCAAGCCCUGCCGGGAGCA